rnacentral:snRNA from 1 species
GUUCCUGAACAUGUACUAAAAUUAGCAAGAUUGGCAUGACCCCUGCGCAAGGAUGGCACGCAAAUUCGUGGAGCGUUCCAAAAAUUU